rnacentral:rRNA from 1 species
AACGAACGCUGGCGGCGUGGAUAAGACAUGCAAGUCGAACGGGACAGACCGAGUAGCAAUAUUUGGAAUGUUCAGUAGCGAACGGGUGCGUAACACGUGGAUAACAUUCCGGAAAGCGGGGAAUAGCCCAGGGAAACUUGGAUUAAUACCGCAUGUGGCCGCAAGGCUAAAGACGGGGACCGCAAGGCCUGUCACUUUCCGAUUGGUCCGCGGCCUAUCAGCUAGUUGGCGGGGUAAUGGCCCAACAAGGCUACGACGGGUAGCUGGUCUUAGAGGACGACCAGACACACUGGAACUGAGACACGGUCCAGACACCUACGGGUGGCAGCAGUCGAGAAUCUUUCACAAUGGGGGCAACCCUGAUGGAGCGACGCCGCGUGGAGGAUAAGGUCUUCGGAUUGUAAACUCCUGUCAUGCGAGAACAAGGUACUCAGGCUAAUAACCUGAUUGUUUGAUGGUACCGCAAGAGGAAGAGACGGCUAACUCUGUGCCAGCCGCCGCCGUAACAC